rnacentral:rRNA from 1 species
AGAGUUUGAUCCUGGCUCAGAACAAACGCUGGCGGCGUGCCUAACACAUGCAAGUCGUACGAGAAAGUCGGCUUCGGCCGAUGAGUACAGUGGCGCACGGGUGAGUAACGCGUGGGUAAUCUGCCCCCCGGUCAGGAAUAACCCGCCGAAAGGCGGGCUAAUACCCGAUAACACUGACGCUCUGCGGAGCGUCUUUCAAAGAAGGCCUCUGUUUACAAGCUUUCGCCGGAGGAUGAGCCCGCGUACCAUUAGCUAGUUGGCAGGGUAAUGGCCUACCAAGGCAACGAUGGUUAGCUGGUCUGAGAGGAUGGCCAGCCACACUGGAACUGGGACACGGUCCAGACUCCUACGGGAGGCAGCAGUGAGGAAUCUUGCGCAAUGGGGGAAACCCUGACGCAGCAACGCCGCGUGAGUGAGGAAGGCCUUCGGGUCGUAAAGCUCUGUCAGAUGGGAAGAAAUGGGUGGGGGCUAAUAUCGUCCAUCCUUGACGGUACCAUCAGAGGAAGCACCGGCUAACUCCGUGCCAGCAGCCGCGGUAAUACGGGGGGUGCAAGCGUUGUUCGGAAUCAUUGGGCGUAAAGCGCGCGCAGGCGGCUUGGUAAGUCAGAUGUGAAAUCCCUGGGCUUAACCCAGGAAGUGCAUUUGAUACUGCCUCGCUAGAGUACGGGAGAGGAAAGUGGAAUUCCUGGUGUAGAGGUGAAAUUCGUAGAUAUCAGGAGGAACACCGGUGGCGAAGGCGACUUUCUGGCUCGAUACUGACGCUCAGGCGCGAAAGCGUGGGGAGCAAACAGGAUUAGAUACUCUGGUAGUCCACGCUGUAAACGAUGUUCACUAGGUGUUGGGGGUAUUGACUCUCUCAGUGCCGUAGCUAACGCAUUAAGUGAAUCGCCUGGGAAGUACGGUCGCAAGACUAAAACUCAAAGGAAUUG